rnacentral:rRNA from 1 species
CAUGCAGGUCGAACGGUAACAGGAAGCAGCUUGCUGCUUUGCUGACGAGUGGCGGACGGGUGAGUAAUGUCUGGGAAACUGCCUGAUGGAGGGGGAUAACUACUGGAAACGGUGGCUAAUACCGCAUAACGUCGCAAGACCAAAGAGGGGGACCUUCGGGCCUCUUGCCAUCAGAUGUGCCCAGAUGGGAUUAGCUUGUUGGUGAGGUAACGGCUCACCAAGGCGACGAUCCCUAGCUGGUCUGAGAGGAUGACCAGCCACCCUGGAACUGAGACACGGUCCAGACUCCUACGGGAGGCAGCAGUGGGGAAUAUUGCACAAUGGGCGCAAGCCUGAUGCAGCCAUGCCGCGUGUAUGAAGAAGGCCUUCGGGUUGUAAAGUACUUUCAGCGGGGAGGAAGGUGUUGUGGUUAAUAACCGCAGCAAUUGACGUUACCCGCAGAAGAAGCACCGGCUAACUCCGUGCCAGCAGCCGCGGUAAUACGGAGGGUGCAAGCGUUAAUCGGAAUUACUGGGCGUAAAGCGCACGCAGGCGGUCUGUCAAGUCGGAUGUGAAAUCCCCGGGCUCAACCUGGGAACUGCAUUCGAAACUGGCAGGCUUGAGUCUUGUAGAGGGGGGUAGAAUUCCAGGUGUAGCGGUGAAAUGCGUAGAGAUCUGGAGGAAUACCGGUGGCGAAGGCGGCCCCCUGGACAAAGACUGACGCUCAGGUGCGAAAGCGUGGGGAGCAAACAGGAUUAGAUACCCUGGUAGUCCACGCCGUAAACGAUGUCUACUUGGAGGUUGUGCCCUUGAGGCGUGGCUUCCGGAGCUAACGCGUUAAGUAGACCGCCUGGGGAGUACGGCCGCAAGGUUAAAACUCAAAUGAAUUGACGGGGGCCCGCACAAGCGGUGGAGCAUGUGGUUUAAUUCGAUGCAACGCGAAGAACCUUACCUGGUCUUGACAUCCACAGAACUUUCCAGAGAUGGAUUGGUGCCUUCGGGAACUGUGAGACAGGUGCUGCAUGGCUGUCGUCAGCUCGUGUUGUGAAAUGUUGGGUUAAGUCCCGCAACGAGCGCAACCCUUAUCCUUUGUUGCCAGCGGUCCGGCCGG